GAAGGUUAAUAGUUCAGAACAAAACCGGGUAAUACACCACCACCCCCCUCCUUGGGCUUUGCCACUUCUGAAAGGAAUAGAAGCUUGUUGACUCAGCAUAGAAGAGGUAUGGGUUGUGCGGCAGGUAUUAUUAUUAUUGCCGGCCUGUGAAUAAACAGAGCUUCUGCUAUUCGUUUGAGUUUCAGACAGCUUUCAUAAAAAAAAAACCCUCAAAUUCAUCUAAAAUAUUUUUAUAACAGAAAAUAUUGGUUGCCAUGUUUUUGGCUUCUCUGAGAUGUUUUUAUUCCAACUCAUAAUCUGCAAACUGUCCAAUCCACCUCCACUCUAUUUUUAGACAUCUUACAUUUAGAGAAUUUUCAGGGGAAUAAAAGCUAAUAUUGUAAUUAUUACAUUGGCACACGCAGUUAAUUUAUGUUAUUUUAACAACCUUAAACAUAUUAAAACACAUAAUUCAGAUUAGAGUUAGUCAAUUAAUUUAAAUGUUCCCUCAAGGAAGCCAAAUAUGUAUAUUACCCAAACAGUAACAACAAUUAAUAAGAAUUAUGACAUUUGCUUUCUUAGCCAUUAAGAUUAAAGCCAUAAACUGUCAUUAAAAUCUAUAACUAUUUCUUACUGUGAGAAGAAAGAUUAUCUUACCAUGUAGUAAGACAGUCUUCU
rnacentral:lncRNA from 1 species